rnacentral:rRNA from 1 species
GAUGAACGCUGGCGGCGUGCCUAAUACAUGCAAGUCGAGCGAACAGACGAGGAGCUUGCUCCUCUGACGUUAGCGGCGGACGGGUGAGUAACACGUGGAUAACCUACCUAUAAGACUGGGAUAACUUCGGGAAACCGGAGCUAAUACCGGAUAAUAUAUUGAACCGCAUGGUUCAAUAGUGAAAGACGGUUUUGCUGUCGCUUAUAGAUGGAUCCGCGCCGCAUUAGCUAGUUGGUAAGGUAACGGCUUACCAAGGCAACGAUGCGUAGCCGACCUGAGAGGGUGAUCGGCCACACUGGAACUGAGACACGGUCCAGACUCCUACGGGAGGCAGCAGUAGGGAAUCUUCCGCAAUGGGCGAAAGCCUGACGGAGCAACGCCGCGUGAGUGAUGAAGGUCUUCGGAUCGUAAAACUCUGUUAUUAGGGAAGAACAAAUGUGUAAGUAACUAUGCACGUCUUGACGGUACCUAAGCAGAAAACCACGGCUAACUACGU